rnacentral:rRNA from 1 species
GUACACUCCUACGGGAGGCAGCAGUGGGGAAUAUUGGACAAUGGGCGCAAGCCUGAUCCAGCCAUGCCGCGUGAGUGAUGAAGGCCCUAGGGUUGUAAAGCUCUUUCACCGGUGAAGAUAAUGACGGUAACCGGAGAAGAAGCCCCGGCUAACUUCGUGCCAGCAGCCGCGGUAAUACGAAGGGGGCUAGCGUUGUUCGGAUUUACUGGGCGUAAAGCGCACGUAGGCGGACUAUUAAGUCAGGGGUGAAAUCCCGGGGCUCAACCCCGGAACUGCCUUUGAUACUGGUAGUCUUGAGUUCGAGAGAGGUGAGUGGAAUUCCGAGUGUAGAGGUGAAAUUCGUAGAUAUUCGGAGGAACACCAGUGGCGAAGGCGGCUCACUGGCUCGAUACUGACGCUGAGGUGCGAAAGCGUGGGGAGCAAACAGGAUUAGAAACCCCGGUAGUCCCA